CUUCGGUGCAGCUGUCCGUGAAUCGCGCUGCGGUGGACUGCUCGCGGUUUAAGAGGUGUUUAACGUCACUUCAUUUGGAAAUCUUCACGAAACACGAGCAGUGUCAGCUUCAGACGAGAUGAGGAUAAAACCAAUGAACACCCGCUUCGCAGGACGGGAAGGACCCUCGACAAGAGUCACGUGUCAGGUGACUUACGAUUCCUGGCUUUGUGCCUAUUGUUCCUUUUUAUCGUAUUUGUCAUUUUUAUGCACUUUUUGUCAAGACACUUACUGUAUAUGUGAAUACUUCUAACUUGACUGGCCAAGUGUUCUGUGGGUUGAAUUCCCCAGGAGGCGGAGCCUGCGUGACGUCACCCUUAUAUUCAGGAGUGAGCCCCCCAGAGGCCCGUUGGCUGUGGUGGGCUUCAUUCCAUUCUUUGGGAUACUCUUACGCGUUUUGGAUUUUGCUCGUUGUUUACUGGAUCGCAGACGUGGAUUUUCUCUCCCACAUUCCCCCCUUUGGCGCAUCCACUUUUUUUCUUUCUCCUCCUGCCUUGCCAGAGUUUUGUGCUUCUGCUGUUUACUUAAUAAACUCUUUAAAGAAUAA